GUGGGUAUAGCUCAGUGGCAGAGCGCAUGCUUAGCAUGCACGAUGUCCUGGGUUCAAUCCCAGUCCCUCCA
rnacentral:tRNA from 1 species